rnacentral:rRNA from 1 species
UACGUAGGGUGCAAGCGUUGUCCGGAAUUAUUGGGCGUAAAGAGCUCGUAGGCGGUUUGUCGCGUCGGCUGUGAAAUCCCGAGGCUCAACCUCGGGCCUGCAGUCGAUACGGGCAAACUAGAGUGUGGUAGGGGAGAUUGGAAUUCCUGGUGUAGCGGUGAAAUGCGCAGAUAUCAGGAGGAACACCGGUGGCGAAGGCGGUUCUCUGGGCCUGUACUGACGCUGAGGAGCGAAAGCGUGGGGAGCGAACAGG